CUCCUGCAAUUUCUGCUCGUGCAGCUCAUCUUCCUCCAGCAGGUCCCUGAUGUCCUUGAGGGAGGCCUCCACAUCCGUGAACACUCCUGACAGCACUGAAGUGUAUUGGGGGUAGCCACUGAGAAGAGCCUGCCUGCCUGCAUGAUCCCUCCGCUGAAACUAAAGACUUGUCUUCUACCACGUGGACUGGAGGCCAUGCCUACACUGACAGACACCCUCCACAGCACAUCAACACUCACAACCUAGAUCUAGCCUCUGGGCCGGGAGGCGAGAAUGUGGUGUGAGCCUACCUCCCACCGCUUGUCCCAUACUUACUCUAGAACCUCAUUCUUGUCUUCAAUCUUGGCCAGCAUUUCCCGAAGUAGCUUGGCCUUCUCCUCGCUAAGAAUAAACAGACCAGUUGCUGGAAACCUA